GCCAGCAGCCGCGGUAAUACGGAGGGUGCAAGCGUUAUCCGGAUUCACUGGGUUUAAAGGGUACGUAGGCGGGCAGGUAAGUCAGUGGUGAAAUCCUGGAGCUUAACUCCAGAACUGCCAUUGAUACUAUCUGUCUUGAAUAUUGUGGAGGUAAGCGGAAUAUGUCAUGUAGCGGUGAAAUGCUUAGAUAUGACAUAGAACACCUAUUGCGAAGGCAGCUUACUACGCAUAUAUUGACGCUGAGGCACGAAAGCGUGGGGAUCAAACAGGAUUAGAUACCCUGGUAGUCCACGCCCUAAACGAUGGAUACUCGACAUACGCGAUACACUGUGUGUGUCUGAGCGAAAGCAUUAAGUAUCCCACCUGGGAAGUACGACCGCAAGGUUGAAACUCAAAGGAAUUGACGGGGGCCCGCACAAG
rnacentral:rRNA from 1 species